GAUGAACGCUGGCGGCGUGCCUAAUACAUGCAAGUCGAGCGAACGGACGAGAAGCUUGCUUCUCUGAUGUUAGCGGCGGACGGGUGAGUAACACGUGGAUAACCUACCUAUAAGACUGGGAUAACUUCGGGAAACCGGAGCUAAUACCGGAUGAUAUUUUGAACCGCAUGGUUCAAAAGUGAAAGACGGUCUUGCUGUCACUUAUAGAUGGAUCCGCGCUGCAUUAGCUAGUUGGUAAGGUAACGGCUUACCAAGGCAACGAUGCAUAGCCGACCUGAGAGGGGGAUCGGCCACACUGGAACUGAGACACGGUCCAGACUCCUACGGGAGGCAGCAGUAGGGAAUCUUCCGCAAUGGGCGAAAGCCUGACGGAGCAACGCCGCGUGAGUGAUGAAGGUCUUCGGAUCGUAAAACUCUGUUAUUAGGGAAGAACAUAUGUGUAAGUAACUGUGCACAUCUUGAUGGUACCUAAUCAGAAAGCCACGGCUAACUACGUG
rnacentral:rRNA from 1 species